rnacentral:rRNA from 1 species
UACGGGGGGGGCAAGCGUUGUUCGGAAUUACUGGGCGUAAAGGGUGCGUAGGCGGCGCGGUAAGUCGGGUGUGAAAUCUCGGAGCUUAACUCCGAAAUUGCAUUCGAUACUGCCGUGCUUGAGGACUGGAGAGGAGACUGGAAUUCAUGGUGUAGCAGUGAAAUGCGUAGAGAUCAUGAGGAAGACCAGUGGCGAAGGCGGGUCUCUGGACAGUUCCUGACACUGAGGCACGAAGGCCAGGGGAGCAAACGGG